rnacentral:lncRNA from 1 species
GUUUGAGAAGGUGUUAGUGCGUAUGAUUGUUUGGUCUUCCAAGAAGGUGGUUUUAUCGCGGAAGGUAUUUUUGUCAAAAAAACUUAUUCUUCAAGCGUUUGCGACGUCUCGCGAUACUGAAGAAUGGUUUGUUACGAAUUUUUCCUUACAUGCCGCGUAUUAUGGGAGCUUUGUUACGAAUUUUUCCUUACAUGCCGCGUAUUAUGGGUAAAACAUAGCGGGCUUAAAGUGAAUUGUGGAAUGUAUCGAACUUGGUCGAUUGUUGAGAAGUUUAGGUUUUCUGUUAACCGUUUGGUUGUGAGGACUGAGUUUCGUUACGAAGGAUUUAUCAUAUGAUUUUCGACUGUGGGUUAUACAUUAAUUAUUCUUUUAAUAGCCAGACGAUGCUUUUAGACAAAUCGCAGAAUAUCGUUUGGC